rnacentral:rRNA from 1 species
UACAGAGGUCUCAAGCGUUGUUCGGAUUCAUUGGGCGUAAAGGGUGCGUAGGCGGCGCGGUAAGUCGGGUGUGAAAUCUCGGGGCUUAACUCCGAAACUGCAUUCGAUACUGCUGUGCUUGAGGACUGGAGAGGAGACUGGAAUUUACGGUGUAGCGGUGAAAUGCGUAGAUAUCGUAAGGAAGACCAGUGGCGAAGGCGGGUCUCUGGACAGUUCCUGACGCUGAGGCACGAAGGUCAGGGGAGCAAACGGG